GAGGAAGAAGAAGAGGACGGCGCCGGUGGGUUAGGUGCCGCCGUCGCCGUCAUUGCCAAGCCCGAAGGAGAAAGAGAGUCCGCAAAGGGAGAGUGAGGGACGGAGAAGAGAAGCCGCGCUAACCCCGCAACGCCACUGCGUCGUCGCCUCCGUUGAGCGGUCGCCAUCAUCGUGCGAGAAAGGAGAAGGAGCCGUCGAGGGGUCGCUAAGCCGCUGCUGUCUCCGUCACAUUCGUUUCUGUCACAGAAGCUUCCAUUUUCGUCACUUUCAUGUUGCGGAGAGAAAGAACUACGCAUGAGCCAGGGGCCAGGGAAAGGGAGCCACUGCCGUUGCAUCCUGGCUACGCUGCCGUUCAAUUCGUUGUUUCAUCAUGGCCAUGGAGAGGAACGUGAAUGGAAAAGGAAACAGGGAAGCUGCUACUUGGGAUUUGAGGAAAACGGCUCUGUUCUGCCUCGCCUCUAGGUUCUGCAAGUUGCCGGAGUCCUCAGCUGCCGGGAACCAGCACUGAAGCUGCCCAGAAUCACUACUGUUGCUGCCAUGGGAGCUGGUAUUGGAACCACUGAUGGAGCUGCUGUGUUUAGUGAUUUUCGCGAGUUGUGACAUCGAGGAUUGAAAUUGUAGAUAAAUGCUUUUGUCAUGACACAAUGGAACAGAUUGUUGAUUCUUUGAGUGGCAAGUGAAACAAAUGAUGCAUGGUGCAUUUCUACCCUAAAUAGACUUAAAGAAGCUUCGCCAUUGAGCUUGAAGGUUUCCCUGAGAUCAAUACGAGAGGGUAGAUUUUAAACUCUUGACCAGUGCUUAUUGCGUGAGUACCAUACGACUUUACAAGCAAAAUCUAAGCAGAUUUCUGGUGACUUUUGUGAGGUAAUGAACAUUGCCAGCAUUACAAAUCCAACAUCAUUCAAAGAUGAGGUUUCUAGGUGGUUUAUAAAU